rnacentral:rRNA from 1 species
GGUGACCUGCGGAAGGAUCAUUACCGAGUGAGGGCCCUCUGGGUCCAACCUCCCACCCAUGUUUAUUGUACCUUGUUGCUUCGGCGGGCCCGCCUCACGGCCGCCGGGGGGCUUCUGCCCUCUGGCCCGCGCCCGCCGAAGACACCAUUGAACACUGUCUGAAGAUUGCAGUCUGAGCAAUUAGCUAAAUAAGUUAAAACUUUCAACAACGGAUCUCUUGGUUCCGGCAUCGAUGAAGAACGCAGCGAAAUGCGAUACGUAAUGUGAAUUGCAGAAUUCAGUGAAUCAUCGAGUCUUUGAACGCACAUUGCGCCCCUUGGUAUUCCGGGGGGCAUGCCUGUCCGAGCGUCAUUGCUGCCCUCAAGCACGGCUUGUGUGUUGGGCCCCGUCCUCCUUCCCGGGGGACGGGCCCGAAAGGCAGCGGCGGCACCGCGUCCGGUCCUCGAGCGUAUGGGGCUUUGUCACCCGCUCUUGUAGGCCCGGCCGGCGCUUGCCGACAACCAUCAAUCUUUUUUCAGGUUGACCUCGGAUCAGGUAGGGAUACCCGCUGAACUUAAGCAUAUCAAUAAGCGGAGGAAAAGAAACCAACAGGGAUUGCCUCAGUAACGGCGAGUGAAGCGGCAAGAGCUCAAAUUUGAAAGCUGGCCCCCUCGGGGUCCGCAUUGUAAUUUGCAGAGGAUGCUUCGGGAGUGGCCCCCAUCUAAGUGCUCUGGAACGGGCCGUCAUAGAGGGUGAGAAUCCCGUAUGGGGAUGGGGUGUCCGCGAC